rnacentral:rRNA from 1 species
UCGGGAAUCUUGCACAAUGGGCGAAAGCCUGAUGCAGCAACGCCGUGUGAGCGAGGAAGGCCUUCGGGUCGUAAAGCUCUGUUGUUGGGGACGAAGGGCGAAGGGUUAAUAGCCCCUAGCCUGACGGUACCCUUCGAGGAAGCCCCGGCUAACUACGUGCCAGCAGCCGCGGUAAUACGUAGGGGGCGAGCGUUGUCCGGAAUUACUGGGCGUAAAGCGCGCGUAGGCGGGCUGUUAAGUCAGAGGUGAAAUCCCGGGGCUCAACCCCGGAACUGCCUUUGAUACUGGCAGCCUAGAGUUCGAGAGAGGUGAGUGGAAUUCCGAGUGUAGAGGUGAAAUUCGUAGAUAUUCGGAGGAACACCAGUGGCGAAGGCGGCUCACUGGCUCGAUACUGACGCUGAGGUGCGAAAGCGUGGGGAGCAAACAGGAUUAGAUACCCGUGUAGUCC